UGCAAACUGCGAAUACCGGAGAAUGUUAUCACGGGAGACACACGGCGGGUGCUAACGUCCGUCGUGAAGAGGGAAACAACCCAGACCGCCAGCUAAGGUCCCAAAGUCAUGGUUAAGUGGGAAACGAUGUGGGAAGGCCCAGACAGCCAGGAUGUUGGCUUAGAAGCAGCCAUCAUUUAAAGAAAGCGUAAUAGCUCACUGGUCGAGUCGGCCUGCGCGGAAGAUGUAACGGGGCUAAACCAUGCACCGAAGCUGCGGCAGCGACGCUGAUGCGUUGUUGGGUAGGGGAGCGUUCUGUAAGCCUGUGAAGGUGUGCUGUGAGGUAUGCUGGAGGUAUCAGAAGUGCGAAUGCUGACAUAAGUAACGAUAAAGCGGGUGAAAAGCCCGCUCGCCGGAAGACCAAGGGUUCCUGUCCAACGUUAAUCGGGGCAGGGUGAGUCGACCCCUAAGGCGAGGCCGAAAGGCGUAGUCGAUGGGAAACAGGUUAAUAUUCCUGUACUUGGUGUUACUGCGAAGGGGGGACGGAGAAGGCUAUGUUGGCCGGGCGACGGUUGUCCCGGUUUAAGCGUGUAGGCUGGUUUUCCAGGCAAAUCCGGAAAACUAAGGCUGAGGCGUGAUGACGAGGCACUACGGUGCUGAAGCAACAAAUGCCCUGCUUCCAGGAAAAGCCUCUAAGCAUCAGGUAACAUCAAAUCGUACCCCAAACCGACACAGGUGGUCAGGUAGAGAAUACCAAGGCGCUUGAGAGAACUCGGGUGAAGGAACUAGGCAAAAUGGUGCCGUAACUUCGGGAGAAGGCACGCUGAUAUGUAGGUGAAGUCCCUCGCGGAUGGAGCUGAAAUCAGUCGAAGAUACCAGCUGGCUGCAACUGUUUAUUAAAAACACAGCACUGUGCAAACACGAAAGUGGACGUAUACGGUGUGACGCCUGCCCGGUGCCGGAAGGUUAAUUGAUGGGGUCAGCGCAAGCGAAGCUCUUGAUCGAAGCCCCGGUAAACGGCGGCCGUAACUAUAACGGUCCUAAGGUAGCGAAAUUCCUUGUCGGGUAAGUUCCGACCUGCACGAAUGGCGUAAUGAUGGCCAGGCUGUCUCCACCCGAGACUCAGUGAAAUUGAACUCGCUGUGAAGAUGCAGUGUACCCGCGGCAAGACGGAAAGACCCCGUGAACCUUUACUAUAGCUUGACACUGAACAUUGAGCCUUGAUGUGUAGGAUAGGUGGGAGGCUUUGAAGUGUGGACGCCAGUCUGCAUGGAGCCGACCUUGAAA
rnacentral:rRNA from 1 species